rnacentral:rRNA from 1 species
UAGCGUAUUCGUUUGACGUUAGCGACAGAAGAAAGCACCGGCUAACUCCGUGCCAGCAGCCGCGGUAAUACGGAGGGUGCGAGCGUUAAUCGGAAUUACUGGGCGUAAAGCGCAUGCAGGUGGUUUGUUAAGUCAGAUGUGAAAGACCCGGGGCGUCAACCUCGGAAUAGCAUUUGUAAACUAGGCAGACUAGAGUACUGUAGAGGGGGGUAGGAAUUUCAGGUGUAGCGGUGAAAUGCGUAGAGAUCUGAAGGAAUACCGGUGGCGAAGGCGGCCCCCUCGGACAGAUACUGACACUCAGAUGCGAAAGCGUGGGGAGCAAACAGGAUUAGAUACCCUGGUAG